rnacentral:RNase_P_RNA from 2 species
GAAGUCCGCCAGGCAGCCGCUGUGCGUCUCGUGCGCAUGGAGGAAAGUCCGGGCCCCAUAGAGCAGGAUGCCGGCUAACGGCCGGGCGCUGUGAGGCGAUGGAAAGUGGCACAGAGAAUAGACCGCCUAAGUCUGCAAGGACCGGCAAGGGUGAAACGGCGGGGUAAGAGCCCACCGCAGUCCGUGGCAACACGGCUGGCACGCUAAACCCCAUCCGGGGCAAGGCCAAAUAGGGAAGCCAUGACGCUGCUCGCGUCGCUUCCGGGUAGGCUGCUAGAGCGCCGCGGCAACGCGGCGCCCAGAGGAAUGGCUGCCGGACAGCUUCGGCUGUCUUACAGAACCCGGCUUAUCGGCGGACUUCCAAC